GUAAUCGUAAGAAAGUUGGUUUUUUAACUACGGGCCUAGCAAAAGAAAAAUUUGGAUAGGAUCCAAUAAGAUGGAUCUCCCCCUUUGAAAAUCGGACAUGAGGGUUUCCUCUCAUCCGGCUAAAGUAUUUACACACAAUUAAAGAUAAAGAAAGGGGUUUCCGCUUUCCAAUUUUUGAAAACCUCUAAUCUAAAAUAAAAAAGGUUUACUCUUUACUCAAGUUAUCAAUAAAGACCAAGCAACAUUUCAUUGAUACACUCUUCUUUUUUUCUGAAUUUGUUAUCCAAUUCAAAAUUACGACAGAAAUAAAAUGUAAAAUUCUUGAGUAGUCUACCUCCCUUCGAACGAGGAAUCCUCUAAAAUGAAAUUCUUAAUAACAAAGGAAUAUCCUCGAAUUCAUAAGAGAUUUCUUUGUCUAUGUAUCAUACCGUUUGAUCUUUUAGGUCAAGACGUCACCUCGACGGGUAUGCCACGAUGUCUUAAAGCCUAUAUGCGAUAGAUAAACUUCUGCAAUCAUUAUAUAUUUUAUUCUUUGAACAUAAUUUUCGUUCUUUUCAAAUAAAAAAGAGAUGGAAUAAUUCAUUCCACAAAAAAGUUUUUUUCACAAGGUACAUACAGUAUAAAUAGUUAUUUGUUACUGAAUUGACCAUAGACCAAUUCCCUUAUUGAUUGGGGAGUAUUCAAUACACCCAUGAAUUCUGAGCUUCAUGUUACUCAUCCCAAGAGACAUGCCAGAUAUAGGACAUUCCAAUUUAAUUGAAUGGAAUGACAGUUUAUAAUUCGAAAUCUGUACAAUAAUAAUUUUUAUCAAAUCACACAUCGCAGUAUACUAGAUCCUCUAAUUCUUUAAGAGGUUUAUCUAAAAGGCUCGCGAUAUAACUAGGAAGACGUUUCAAAUACCACACAUGGGUUACAGGACAUGCUAAUUUGAUAUAUCCCAUUUGAUAUCUACGUAUCCGAGAAUCAAC
rnacentral:lncRNA from 1 species